rnacentral:rRNA from 1 species
UGCAAGUCGAACGAGUUCUCGUUGAUGAUCGGUGCUUGCACCGAGAUUCAACAUGGAACGAGUGGCGGACGGGUGAGUAACACGUGGGUAACCUGCCCUUAAGUGGGGGAUAACAUUUGGAAACAGAUGCUAAUACCGCAUAGAUCCAAGAACCGCAUGGUUCUUGGCUGAAAGAUGGCGUAAGCUAUCGCUUUUGGAUGGACCCGCGGCGUAUUAGCUAGUUGGUGAGGUAAUGGCUCACCAAGGCGAUGAUACGUAGCCGAACUGAGAGGUUGAUCGGCCACAUUGGGACUGAGACACGGCCCAAACUCCUACGGGAGGCAGCAGUAGGGAAUCUUCCACAAUGGACGCAAGUCUGAUGGAGCAACGCCGCGUGAGUGAAGAAGGCUUUCGGGUCGUAAAACUCUGUUGUUGGAGAAGAAUGGUCGGCAGAGUAACUGUUGUCGGCGUGACGGUAUCCAACCAGAAAGCCACGGCUAACUACGUGCCAGCAGCCGCGGUAAUACGUAGGUGGCAAGCGUUAUCCGGAUUUAUUGGGCGUAAAGCGAGCGCAGGCGGUUUUUUAAGUCUGAUGUGAAAGCCCUCGGCUUAACCGAGGAAGCGCAUCGGAAACUGGGAAACUUGAGUGCAGAAGAGGACAGUGGAACUCCAUGUGUAGCGGUGAAAUGCGUAGAUAUAUGGAAGAACACCAGUGGCGAAGGCGGCUGUCUGGUCUGUAACUGACGCUGAGGCUC